rnacentral:lncRNA from 1 species
AACAGGAUACAGCUACAGAUAAGAGCUCUUGGUUUAUUCCGGUGUUUCAAUAGGGCUACAGAUGCUGUUGCAAAAUGAGGCAAGAGUGAGUUCUGCCAAGAGCAAUGUCCAUCAUGCAAAAUGCCUACUACCUAGGAGCUUUCAGAAGAAGGUCAUCACUCCAGGCCACGGUGGCAUUCGUGAAUGGGAAACAAUGUUUGGAAAGUGUGCCGUUUUGACAUCAGUGUGGCUCUGGCACGUUGGAUGGAUGAGAUGAGUAGGAAUCAGUGUGAAGUCCGCAUUACAACAUGCUUGGAUUCAGUUAUGCCAAUGGUAA